CGGAGUGUGGCGCAGUUGGCUAGCGCACCGCGUUUGGGACGCGGGGGCCGUGAGUUCGAGUCUCACCACUCCGACCA
rnacentral:tRNA from 1 species